AUUUGAGUUCCUUAAUGUGUUGCUUUUCCUGGUUAUGGUUCUUUAAGUGGUUUUAUUAAACUCCAUGGACGAUGUUUGUAAUUAGUGUCUAAAUGUGAUCAAGUGCUUUUCAACAUGAGGAGAUGCUUAAAAUGUUGUUAUGUUUGUAAUUUGGAUUUUAUCUCAUACAGCUAGUAACUUUAUUUCCUUCGUGAAGGUGGACUAAUGAACAAACAUGGACUCCUGCCGAAAUAAAUCAAUUGCUGGCAAAUUGACCUGCAAUUGAGGAAGCAACUGCAGUUUCAAAUGAACAAGGUUGUUGAACCCAGAUUUGCGACUUGAUCCUGACAUGUUAAGGUUCAGUGCACGUUCACCUGUAGAAGCUUCCUCUGCACAACAAGCUGUUGUUCAAGUAAACAGUCGACCAUCUGCUGGUAGUAACAAUCAAGGUGGAGUAGAUCAAGAAAUGGAUGAUGAAAACAAUGAAGAACUAGACCUUACUUGAGAAGAAUUUUGAAUUGUUUUAGAGGAAUGUUCUAGGAAUCUUUUGUUACCAACAUUUUUGAAACUUACUUACUCUCUUGAAAUGUACUAAACUUCUGCACUCAUGGGGUAGAACAUUUGCUUUAUGGAUAUUAUUUUCUUGAUGGAUAAUUUUAUAUUAUUAAUAGUUUCAUUUUA